UACGGAGGGGGCAAGCGUUGUUCGGAAUUACUGGGCGUAAAGGGUUCGUAGGUGGCGUGCUAAGUCAGACGUGAAAUCCCUCAGCUUAACUGGGGAACUGCGUCUGAUACUGGCGAGCUUGAGUGCAGGAGAGGAACGCAGAAUUCCAGGUGUAGCGGUGAAAUGCGUAGAUAUCUGGAGGAAUACCGGUGGCGAAGGCGGCGUUCUGGACUGCAACUGACACUGAUGAACGAAAGCCAGGGGAGCAAACGGG
rnacentral:rRNA from 1 species